ensembl:lncRNA
GACCCCAUGGACUGCAGCACGCCAGGCUUCCCUGUCCUUCACCAUCUCUCAGAGCUUGCUCGAACUCCAGUCUAUUGAGUUGGUGAUGCCAGUGUGGAGGGAUUCAAACACGUCACAUCACAGUGGGAAUGACAGCUUCUGCUUUUAAUCUGAAAGUCAGAGCCACCAUGAGGCCGAGGACUGGCAUGAAGAAGAGUCAGCGGUGCCCCUGGAGAUAGUCCUGCCCAAGCAGCAGUGCACACUUUCAGAGGCAGAGGCUGUGGUCAAGACUGGCUGCUCCAGAAUUCCCGUGGGAGCUGGAAUACGCUCUAGGCUGAGCAGUUUCUUGGAGCUCCUCGAGUCAUCACAGAUCACAUACCUUAAAGGAAGGAAAGAGUCAACCUGAGGAUUAAUUGGAAAGUGGUUGUUGGCAUCAAGGCGACACCCACCCGCCAGCUGGGGCCAUGAAUGACAGUCCCUGCAUCACGCCCAAGAGGAGAACCAGGUGACCACUUGC